rnacentral:rRNA from 1 species
CACGUAGGAGGCGAGCGUUGUCCGGAAUCAUUGGGCGUAAAGAGCGCGCAGGCGGCUUGGCAAGUCGGGUGUGAAAUCCCGGGGCUCAACCCCGGGACUGCAUUCGAUACUGUCAGGCUAGAGGUAGGUAGGGGAGAUCGGAAUUCCUGGUGUAGCGGUGAAAUGCGCUGAUAUCAGGAGGAACACCGGUGGCGAGGGCGGAUCUCUGGGCCUUACCUGACGCUCAGGCGCGAAAGCUAGGGGAGCGAACAGG